UAGUGUCAGCAGCUGUGGGGGCGGUGCGGUGUUCUGAGCGGAACGCAGCGUUGAAGCCGGGAGCUGAAGCUGAGAGCGGAGCCCGGCACAGUCACAGGUUUGACAUCCUGAUGGGGUAUCCACGCUUCAUCUUCUUAAGCUUGCUCAAACAUUCUUUCAAGGACACUAUGAGCAUCUCCAACUUUUUCUGGUGCCCAACAUUAUUUGUUUUCUUCCUGAUGUCACUGACUACAGCAAUAAACUCAGAGAAGACUGAUCAUCACACUUCCAAUGGUUCUGAAGCAGUACUGGAGUCAUUACCUGUGAUCACCUCUAGGGUAGACCACAUCAUUGUGAAAGAAGGAAAUGGCGUGGUCAUUCACUGCAAUAUCGAGGGUCAUCCUUAUCCUCACUUCCAGUGGUAUCAUUCCAAUAGGCACCUACUAAAGGAGGAGAAUGAAGGAAAAUUGUGGAUUCUUGAUAGUGGGCUUUUAAACAUCACUAGUGUGUCAUUUGAAGACAGAGGAAAGUACACUUGUGUUGCUACAAACUCUCACGGCACUGUAAAUAAUACAGUUACCCUGCGGGUCAUUUUUACCUCUGGGGACAUGGGCAUCUACUAUAUGAUAGUCUGCCUGGUUGCUUUUACUAUUGUGUUGGUGCUGAAUAUAACACGACUGUGCAUGAUGAGCAGCCACCUGAAGAAGACCGAGAAAGCCAUUAAUGAUUUCUUUAGGACGGAGGGGCCAGAAAAAUUGCAAAAAGCUUUUGAGAUUGCAAAAAGAAUACCUAUUAUCACUUCUGCCAAGACACUGGAGCUUGCCAAAGUUACUCAGUUUAAAACAAUGGAAUUUGCCCGAUAUAUUGAGGAACUGGCCAGAAGUGUGCCCUUGCCACCACUUAUUAUUAAUUGCAGGACCAUAAUGGAAGAGAUCAUGGAAGUGGUUCGCUUGGAAGAACAAGGUAAUGCAUUUAUACGACAAGGAGCUGUUGGUCAGGAGGUUUGUGAUGUGGACGAGGUGUUCAUCAUUCCUAAAGCUUUACAACGGGGUGAGUCUCCAACAGCGGAUUCAGAUGCCUCUUCUCUCCAUGAAGCACCUCGGCAAAUUGCCAUUACGGUCUCUGUACAUCCAAUGGCAAAGAAACAGUGUCUAGAUACAGAUUCUCAGGACAGUAUACAUUCAUGCACGAAAGAAGACUCUACAUCAAAAGCAUGUACGGACACUUCUGAACCAAGCGAACCUCCAGCUCAAAACACUACAACAUGCAUUAUAUACGAAAGCCAUGUCUAGAUAGAAAGUCUAUGCAUAUUACUAAUAAGACACACACAGCACCUUAUAGAGAAGAUGUAAAGAAGUAUUGCCACUUAGCCUUAGUAAAAUAAACCACCAUUUCUUGCUCAAAUCAUUUUGUGGCUACAUUUGCUCACUGAGUAGAGCUGUAUCGCACUAAAUUACUGCUGGUAUCACUGGAUUUUCACCCAUACAUUUACAUUAUAGUGCAGAGAUCCCCUAUUUCGGAAAAAAAAAUCCAGUAGAAUCUAAUGUAUCAAGUAUGUCUUUAAUAUUUUGUGGUUCAUUGACAUGUUUAAUUCUUGACAUGCUUUUGUCGGUUGAAAUGUGUCCUGAUACCUUGUGAGUAUUGUUUCAGACUAUGAGAAGCAAAUGCUUGCCUAAUGGUAUCUCCCUUUCUACAAAUAACGGAACUAGCCAUUGAUAUGUGUUCCAGAUGCAUUAGAAAGCCCAUGGGCCUUGUCACUAGACAAUCUCAAUUGCUGCUCUGUCUUCAGGUGUAUGAUCAAUAUAUUGUGUCCUUCAAAACAGAUUAGUGGCUUAAAAGGGUCACAUUAAGUGAUCUAAUUUUUUUCAAAAACAAAGUGAGCUCUUCUCUCUGUCGAAGGGAGCGCUGCUCUGGAUUGAAAUUCAGUAAAAUAAUAAAAAAAAAACUAAACACUCUGAGCUGAGCUCAUGGAAGUGGCAGAAAACACCAAAGACCAGCGAUUACAUAGUUCCUUCCUAAUGUAGUCUGCUGUACUGAGCGUUGGUGAAUAUAUUCCUUGUCACACCCUGGGAAAAGGCAGAGCUGCCCAACUACAGACCUGUUUGCUGUCAGACAGGAUCUGCCAUCUUUAUUUAUAGUCUACAACUUGUUCAUCAGCCAAAAGUAUUAAAUCAGAGAAGUUCUCUAUAAAAAAUGUUCUCUAUAAACCUUUUUAUAAUCCGUAGACACAGUUUUCUCUGCUGUUUUCCAUUAGACAUUAGGACAUUAGCUUUGUAAGGCUAAUCAAAAGUUAUGUUUGCCAGGUUUAACUAAUUUCAGCGAGAUCACGUCACAGUCCAAUAUUGGGUGAAGUUACUUUAAAGACCAUCUGUCUGCAGGAUCUUAUUAAACCAUCCAUAAUGCCUGGUAGGAGUGACUCUGCUGAUUAAAAUUAUAGCCUUCUUCCCCUGAUCCAUUGCUCCAUUUAGGAGAAAUAAGUGUUGUAAAAAAUAUGCAAAUUAGGGUUUAAGUUCGCUCCACUUCUAAGGACACUCACCCCACCACCUGGACACCUGGCUAAGGUCCACCCAUGGUACACUUAAGUCCUUAUAUGCUUUGUUUAAAAAAAUUAUAAUCUUCCCCUAAAUACAGCAACAGAAAAGGUAUGUUUUAAAACAGCAGGGGCAGCCCUACCAGGCCGUAUGGCUGGCUUAAUUGGCAUCUGUCAGCAGAUUUGUUCCUAUGACACUGGCUGACCUGUUACAUGUGACAUCUGUGUUGGUCCCAUGUUCAUAUGUGCCUAUAUUGCUGAGAAAAAUUAUGUUUUACUAUAUGCAAAUGAGCCUCUAGGAGGAAUGGGGGUGUGGCCAUUACUGCUAGAAGCUCUUCUCUCUCUGCACCUGCCACACCCACCCUCUGCACCUUGACUUUAGAAGAAGUCAGGGCCAGGUGUGAUGAUGUUUUCACUGACUGGCCCUGUCAAUCAGAGUGCAGAGGACACAGCAGUUGCAGAGCGAGCAGAGCCUCUAGGUGUAAUGGCAAUACCUCUGUUGCUCCUAGAGGCUCAUUUGCAUAUAUUAAGACAUCAUUUUUCUUAGCAAUGUGGACACAUAUGAACAUGGGACCAACACGUAGAUGUUCAGUCAAGUUGAACAUCUAUGAUAAUGGGACAACUGGACAUAUUAGCAUUUGUUAUGUCACGCAAGUUAUUAUGCAAAGCCUAUUGACAGGUGUGGCACUGUUCCUGGAAGAAAGCAGCCAUGUUUGUGAAAUACUGGACAGCUCAUUUAAAGCAGAAGCUUUGGAAACUAUAUAGCAAAAUAUUUGCAAAUGAAAAGUAAGGGUUUUAGAUUACAAGUCUCCGAAUUGUACUGAAACCAGUAUUCUCACUCCUCCAGUUUUCUUAGACAGAGUGGGAAUAGUCAUGUUGUGUGCCAAGCUAAUCAUUGUCAGUCCAAGAGCAACAAGUGUAUGCCCCAGACACAAGUGCCUCAUGCCUCAGUUAUUACUUCCCCUGUCCACUGGAUAGGUAAGAACUGCUUGCUUAGUGAGAAUUCGAGAGCUGGGAUCCCCUCCAGUAUUCUAGUCCAGUGUCCCUCCAUUUGAAAUGGAUUGGUGGUCAAGAAUGCACACUGCUACUCCAAAGUCUGUGGGAUUGAUAAAGGUUGCCUACACUGAGCUCUCUGUCAGUGCCAUAAACGUUGAAUGGAACAGCAGCACUAAUGCUCAGCCGUUGCUCCAUUCAGAUGGAGAACACAGGAACCCCGUUCUGGUAAUUGGUGGGGGAGCCAGGUGUCAGACUCCCUCUUAUCUAUUAUUUAUUACAUAUCCAGUGCACAGCUGAUAAUUGCUUAUGACCAGGAAUGCUCCUUUCAGUUGGUUGUAUACAAGAUAUAAUUGCCAGAUGAAAGAUCUCUGAACAAUUAAUAUACCUGCUUUACCUAAUAUAGUUCAUGAGAGCAGACUUGUUGUGAGGGUUUGUCAGACCACACAGACCUAGACAUUAGGUAUUUCUUGACAGAUCCUUCUGACAACCUGUUAGUUUUUCAUAAGAAUAGUCUUUGCAUUCACAUAUAAAUAAUUAGCACUCUUAAGAAGAUGACCUUCAUUAUAAGAAGGUCACUGGCUUUAAGGGUUUUCCUGAUUUGUAAGAUAUUGAUGACCUAUCUUCAGGAUAGGUGAUCAAUACCUGAGUGGUGGGGGGAUGACUCUCGGCACUCCUGCCGUACAGCUGUUUGAAGAGCGAUGCAGCCUCUUCCUAAGCCAGUGGCAUCACGUUAAUCUGUCACGUGACAUAGGCACAGCUCAGUCCUAUUCAAGGAAAUUGGCCUGGGCUGGAAUACCAUGCACAGUCAGUUUUCGAAGAAUAGUACUGUGCUUGGUAUGCUGUGAGGAGGACAUAGCUCUCACAGCUGGUCGGUGGUGGUGCUGGGUGUCUGAACCCACCAAACAGAAAUUGACUUAACCUAGACUAGCCUCUUUAAAAAUAAAUUUUUCAUUCUGUAAACCAUGUUCUGUAAGCCAUGGAGAAACUCAACUGAUCGUUUAUAAUGCACACAGGGUGGCCUCAUGUGGCUUGCACGCUUCUCUUAUGUAUACUUGCCAACUUGUAAGGGUUGCUGUCCAGGAGACGUGAGAAUGUGGCUCGCACAGUGUGGCCCUAACAUUUUAUGACCCAUUUACCUGUCCCUUUUUAGAAGACCUCUUUUGUGAUGUAUCGCACACCUUUUCAUGACAUGUCACAUCAUGCAAGCAAGCAUGGGUGUUGGCUUUGGCUGAUGACACAUAGCAUCCCCUUGCCACAUACAGUUAGAACAUAAAAAGGGCUGCAGCCUUCCAUGCACUUCUUUGGGAAAUGUACCAGCUCUUCCAAGAGGUUAGGAGGUUUCCCCUUUUUCCAAGAGCCUUACAGGCGUUCCAUGAGGGUUGGCAAGAAGACCACAGCUGUCAAUGCCCUUCUGCACGCCUCCUCUGCACACCAUCCAAAAACAAUCCAGGCAAUACCCAUAGGGCAAUUUUUACGGACACGCAGGAUCUGCUCCACUGAAGAACAUUUUGAACAGCAGGCAUCUGUACUAUCGCAGCGAUUCUCCGAUCGAGGGUAUCACGCGCAUAUGAUCCAGCAGGGUUACAAAAGAGCCAGAAAUACCACAAGAGAUUCUUUACUGAUUGUCCUGUGUUGGCGUGCCUUGGAUUUGUUGGCGGGUCCAUUGGAGAAGUUACUUUUGAGACGAAAGGUGUACAACAGAUGGAUAUCCUACGACGCAUCUUUGAGAAAUCAUACCUCCAUGUUAUACUCCUUAUGUACACCUUUAGCACAUUCACAAUGCAUAUAUAUUCUUAAUGUGACAUCCGAUAUAAUUAUUUUAGAUGGAUGUGAUGUGCACAGUCCCUUGCUUCUCCUUUUCUUUUUCCCUUCUUGUUUUCUUUCCCUUUCCCUCCUCCCCCCCCCCCCUUUCCCUAUCUAUCCAUUUUGGAUAAAUGCUUACCUAUCUCUUGUGUGUCUUUUGUUUUGAUCCCUCCUUUCCACAAUGAGAGGUGGUUGAGGUGACUCUUUGAUGCUGUGAUGCAGGUUUGACCGUAUUACCAUAUUCAUAGAACAUCAUUAAUUACGGCCAUCUUGAGUGUGUUGAUACUGUGAUGUACAUUUUGACCACAGUAUUAUACACACUACUAUAUCAUGUAACAUCACAAUUCAAGCAAUAUGGUAUACCGGGCUCCGGCAUCAUACUCUAUCGUACUUGUUAGUCUCUUAUAUACACGACCCUUUGAGGUUAUUUCGAGUGGGGCGGGGAUAUCCCGCGUGACACUUUGGGCAUUUCUUUGUUGCCUACAUGGUCAUCCGCGAUAUCCCACCCCCACAUAUGUUGGUGACUCACAUAGGUCACGAUUUUAUAUAUAUGCCAGCACCCGUUUAGGGUGCAGACGAUAUCACAAUUCGGGCCAUUGGGGUGUAAUUCUCCCCUUUGUCUUCGAUCAUUCACUUGGUGAUAAUUUUAUCAUGAUAUUAUUAUAUGAAUAACACAGAUGAUGAAUUAAUUAAUUUUUUAUUCAUGUAUUACUUCUUACUUUCACUAUUUCUAACGUGUGGUUAUAUAUAAUUGAUGCAUUGUACAUGAUGUGGGUGCUGCCACAAGAUCAAUGUAAUUUUACACUACACUGUUUUAGUGUGGUGUUUUUUUCACUUAUCUAUAAAUGUUAUACAUUAAGCUCGCCCUUUGUAUGACUGCAAUGACUUAUGGGCUUAUGCCAUUAUCAUUGCAUUUUACUUAUUACGACGCAAUGUCCUUUUAGAUGUUUUGUAUUGUCAUUUCACUGUCAUACUAUGGUGGUUUGUGGAUCUGGAGUGGAUGGGAGCUGGAUCACGUGCUAUUACCUUCUUUUUGAUUAACAUAGUCGCAUAGGCUAUCCAUCGACCAUAGCUAUUCUUUAGUUAAAGGAUCCGCCUCCCGCUUAUUUGCGGUUCACCUGCGUUCCAACGGGUCGCGGUCCAUACAUGCGCUGUGCGACGUCAUCUGAACGCGCUCCGUGACGUCCACACGCGCCGCGCAUGCGCGGCGGGUGGACGGUGACGCGCUGAAAGAUGGCGCCGCGCAUCAUGAUGUUCCCGCACCCACUACACUGGACCGCAGGUGCACAUAAUCCAGGUACCCUAAUUGGACAGUCACAUAGACUAUAUAUACCCUGCUAAUCUGUUUCUUGACACCUCCUGACGAAGCCGCUCAGGCGAAACGCGCGUCGAGGUUUGCGCUCUAGGGGCUCACAAUCAUGGUCACCAUGUCCUCAGGUACAGUUUUCGCUUAGUAGUAUAUCACAGGGCGUACUCACGUUUUGGUUCCAGCUGGCAUCCACACUAGAUCCACAAUACUAGUUGUGGGGGGGUUUUAUAGUGAUACUUAGUGAUCCUAUUUAUUAUAUUACCCAUACUGAAUCCUUGCAAGUGUAUAUACUAUUAUGUUUUCCUUGCUGAUGUGAGGUUCAUGUAUGAUCGGUAGUCCCCUUGUUAUUGUAAUAUGGGAUGCAGUCUUAUGGUGGGCUGCUUACUCACUCGGUUGCUACUUCCCAUAUGCUAGUACACAGGAUUCCGAUCAUCCAUGUGCCAAUAUUAUCUGCACCUGUGGAUUAUCCAUGCUUAAUUGCAUGAUUGCACAUGAUUCCAUUUUUGUGUACGUCCCUAUGGCUCUCUGAAUACUGUUUUCCAUCCUGUCUUUUCCCGUAAUUAUUAUUUGAGAAUAAAGUGAUAUUUUGAUAUAUAUACCCCUUCCACUUGAAUUUUUUUGCUUAUAGAUUGGAUGAUA